rnacentral:rRNA from 1 species
UACGGGGGGAGCAAGCGUUGUUCGGAUUUACUGGGCGUAAAGGGCGCGUAGGCGGCCAGCACAAGUCAGUUGUGAAAUCUCCGGGCUUAACUCGGAAAGGUCAACUGAUACUGUGCGACUAGAGUGCGGAAGGGGCAACUGGAAUUCUUGGUGUAGCGGUGAAAUGCGUAGAUAUCGGGAGGAACACCAGUGGCGAAGCCGGCGACCUGGGCAGAUACUGACGCUGAGGUGCGAAAGCGUGGGGAGCAAACAGG